rnacentral:rRNA from 1 species
GGCAGCAGUGAGGAAUUUUGCGCAAUGGGGGAAACCCUGACGCAGCAACGCCGCGUGGGUGAAGAAGGCUUUCGGGUCGUAAAGCCCUGUCAGGUGGGAAGAAACUCUUCAGUACUAAUAAUGCUGAAGCCUGACGGUACCACCAGAGGAAGCACCGGCCAACUCCGUGCCAGCAGCCGCGGUAAUACGGAGGGUGCAAGCGUUGUUCGGAAUUAUUGGGCGUAAAGAGCGUGUAGGUGGCUUGGUAAGUCAGAUGUGAAAGCCCUGGGCUCAACCCAGGAAGUGCAUUUGAAACUACCAGACUUGAGUACGGGAGAGGAGGGGGGAAUUCCCGGUGUAGAGGUGAAAUUCGUAGAUAUCGGGAGGAAUACCGGUGGCGAAGGCGCCCCUCUGGACCGAUACUGACGCUGAGACGCGAAAGCGUGGGGAGCAAACAGAAUUAGAUACUCUGGUAGUCCUAGCUGUAAACGAUGAGUACUAGGUGUCAGUCCUUCGGGAUUGGUGCCGCAGCUAACGCAUUAAGUACUCCACCUGGGGACUACGGCCGCAAGGCUAAAACUCAAAGGAAUUGACGG